GGUCAAGUGAAGAAGCGCAUACGGUGGAUGCCUUGGCAGUCAGAGGCGAUGAAAGACGUGGUAGCCUGCGAAAAGCUUCGGGGAGUCGGCAAACAGACUUUGAUCCGGAGAUGUCUGAAUGGGGGAACCCAGCCAUCAUAAGAUGGUUAUCUUGUACUGAAUACAUAGGUGCAAGAGGCGAACCAGGGGAACUGAAACAUCUAAGUACCCUGAGGAAAAGAAAUCAACCGAGAUUCCCUUAGUAGUGGCGAGCGAACGGGGACUAGCCCUUAAGUGGCUUUGAGAUUAGCGGAACGCUCUGGAAAGUGCGGCCAUAGUGGGUGAUAGCCCUGUACGCGAAAAUCUCUUAGUCAUGAAAUCGAGUAGGACGGAGCACGAGAAACUUUGUCUGAAUAUGGGGGGACCAUCCUCCAAGGCUAAAUACUACUGACUGACCGAUAGUGAACUAGUACCGUGAGGGAAAGGCGAAAAGAACCCCGGAGAGGGGAGUGAAAUAGAUCCUGAAACCGUAUGCGUACAAGCAGUGGGAGCAGACUUUGUUCUGUGACUGCGUACCUUUUGUAUAAUGGGUCAGCGACUUAUUUUCAGUGGCGAGCUUAACCGAAUAGGGGAGGCGUAGCGAAAGCGAGUCUUAAUAGGGCGUCUAGUCGCUGGGAAUAGACCCGAAACCGGGCGAUCUAUCCAUGGGCAGGUUGAAGGUUGGGUAACACUAACUGGAGGACCGAACCGACUACCGUUGAAAAGUUAGCGGAUGACCUGUGGAUCGGAGUGAAAGGCUAAUCAAGCUCGGAGAUAGCUGGUUCUCCUCGAAAGCUAUUUAGGUAGCGCCUCAUGUAUCACUGUAGGGGGUAGAGCACUGUUUCGGCUAGGGGGUCAUCCCGACUUACCAAACCGAUGCAAACUCCGAAUACCUACAAGUGCCGAGCAUGGGAGACACACGGCGGGUGCUAACGUCCGUCGUGAAAAGGGAAACAACCCAGACCGUCAGCUAAGGUCCCAAAGUUAUGGUUAAGUGGGAAACGAUGUGGGAAGGCUUAGACAGCUAGGAGGUUGGCUUAGAAGCAGCCACCCUUUAAAGAAAGCGUAAUAGCUCACUAGUCGAGUCGGCCUGCGCGGAAGAUGUAACGGGGCUCAAACCAUACACCGAAGCUACGGGUAUCACGUAAGUGAUGCGGUAGAGGAGCGUUCUGUAAGCCUGUGAAGGUGAGUUGAGAAGCUUGCUGGAGGUAUCAGAAGUGCGAAUGCUGACAUGAGUAACGACAAUGGGUGUGAAAAACACCCACGCCGAAAGACCAAGGUUUCCUGCGCAACGUUAAUCGACGCAGGGUUAGUCGGUCCCUAAGGCGAGGCUGAAAAGCGUAGUCGAUGGAAAACAGGUUAAUAUUCCUGUACUUCUGGUUAUUGCGAUGGAGGGACGGAGAAGGCUAGGCCAGCUUGGCGUUGGUUGUCCAAGUUUAAGGUGGUAGGCUGAGAUCUUAGGUAAAUCCGGGAUCUUAAGGCCGAGAGCUGAUGACGAGUGUUCUUUUAGAACACGAAGUGGUUGAUGCCAUGCUUCCAAGAAAAGCUUCUAAGCUUCAGGUAACCAGGAACCGUACCCCAAACCGACACAGGUGGUUGGGUAGAGAAUACCAAGGCGCUUGAGAGAACUCGGGUGAAGGAACUAGGCAAAAUGGCACCGUAACUUCGGGAGAAGGUGCGCCGGUGAGGGUGAAGGACUUGCUCCGUAAGCCCNNNNNNNNNNNNNNNNNNNNNNNNNNNNNNNNNNNNNNNNNNNNNNNNNNNNNNNNNNNNNNNNNNNNNNNNNNNNNNNNNNNNNNNNNNNNNNNNNCCAUGCCGGUCGAAGAUACCAGGCCGCUGCGACUGUUUAUUAAAAACACAGCACUCUGCAAACACGAAAGUGGACGUAUAGGGUGUGACGCCUGCCCGGUGCCGGAAGGUUAAUUGAUGGGGUUAGCUAACGCGAAGCUCUUGAUCGAAGCCCCGGUAAACGGCGGCCGUAACUAUAACGGUCCUAAGGUAGCGAAAUUCCUUGUCGGGUAAGUUCCGACCUGCACGAAUGGCGUAACGAUGGCGGCGCUGUCUCCACCCGAGACUCAGUGAAAUUGAAAUCGCUGUGAAGAUGCAGUGUAUCCGCGGCUAGACGGAAAGACCCCGUGAACCUUUACUAUAGCUUUGCACUGGACUUUGAAUUUGCUUGUGUAGGAUAGGUGGGAGGCUUUGAAGCGUGGACGCCAGUCUGCGUGGAGCCAUCCUUGAAAUACCACCCUGGCAACUUUGAGGUUCUAACUCAGGUCCGUUAUCCGGAUCGAGGACAGUGUAUGGUGGGUAGUUUGACUGGGGCGGUCUCCUCCUAAAGAGUAACGGAGGAGUACGAAGGUGCGCUCAGACCGGUCGGAAAUCGGUCGUAGAGUAUAAAGGCAAAAGCGCGCUUGACUGCGAGACAGACACGUCGAGCAGGUACGAAAGUAGGUCUUAGUGAUCCGGUGGUUCUGUAUGGAAGGGCCAUCGCUCAACGGAUAAAAGGUACUCCGGGGAUAACAGGCUGAUACCGCCCAAGAGUUCAUAUCGACGGCGGUGUUUGGCACCUCGAUGUCGGCUCAUCACAUCCUGGGGCUGAAGCCGGUCCCAAGGGUAUGGCUGUUCGCCAUUUAAAGUGGUACGCGAGCUGGGUUUAGAACGUCGUGAGACAGUUCGGUCCCUAUCUGCCGUGGACGUUUGAGAUUUGAGAGGGGCUGCUCCUAGUACGAGAGGACCGGAGUGGACGAACCUCUGGUGUUCCGGUUGUCACGCCAGUGGCAUUGCCGGGUAGCUAUGUUCGGAAUAGAUAACCGCUGAAAGCAUCUAAGCGGGAAACUAGCCUCAAGAUGAGAUCUCACUGGAACCUUGAGUUCCCUGAAGGGCCGUCGAAGACUACGACGUUGAUAGGUUGGGUGUGUAAGCGCUGUGAGGCGUUGAGCUAACCAAUACUAAUUGCCCGUGAGGCUUGACCAU
rnacentral:rRNA from 1 species